GACGAACGCUGGCGGCGUGCUUAACACAUGCAAGUCGAGCGGUAAGGCCCUUUCGGGGGUACACGAGCGGCGAACGGGUGAGUAACACGUGGGUGACCUGCCCUCAGCUCUGGGAUAAGCCUGGGAAACCGGGUCUAAUACUGGAUAUGACUCCAUGACGCAUGUUGUGGGGUGGAAAGCCUUGUGCGGCUGAGGAUGGGCCCGCGGCCUAUCAGCUUGUUGGUGGGGUGANGGACCUACCAAGGCGACGACGGGUAGCCGGCCUGAGAGGGCGACCGGCCACACUGGGACUGAGACACGGCCCAGACUCCUACGGGAGGCAGCAGUGGGGAAUCUUGCGCAAUGGGCGAAAGCCUGACGCAGCGACGCCGCGUGAGGGA
rnacentral:rRNA from 1 species